GAUGAACGCUGGCGGCGUGCCUAACACAUGCAAGUCGAGCGACCAGACGAUAAGCUUUCUCUUUUGACGUUAGCGACGGACGGACGAGUGACACGUGGAUCACAUACUUAUAUGACUGGGGGAAUUACGGGAAAACACUGCUACUACUGGCUCAUACAUUCUACCGCUGGGUUCAAUGGUUAUUGAGGGCUUUGCCGUUUCUAAUAGCCGGUUUCGCGCCGCAUUAGCUAGUUGGUAAGGUAACGCCGUACCAAGGCGACGAUGCGUAGCCGACCUGAGAGGAUGAUCGGCCACACUGGAACUGAGACACGGUCCAGACUCCUACGGGAGGCAGCAGUAGGGAAUCUUGCGCAAUGGGCGCAAGCCUGACGGAGCAACGCCGCGUGAGUGAUGAAGGUCUUCGGGUCGUAAAGCUCUUUUGUUGGGGAAGAACAGAUGUAGAUGAAUCUAUCGAUGUCUUGACGGUACCUAAUCAAAAAGCAACGGCUAACUACGUG
rnacentral:rRNA from 1 species